rnacentral:rRNA from 1 species
UGCUGAAAGCAUCUAAGCACGAAACUUGCCCCGAGAUGAGUUCUCCCUGAGACUUAGAGUCUCCUGAAGGAACGUUGAAGACGACGACGUUGAUAGGCCGGGUGUGUAAGCGCAGCGAUGCGUUGAGCUAACCGGUACUAAUGAACCGUGAGGCUUAACCUUACAACGCCGAAGGUGUUU